GCUAUUUACCGGCCUACCGGUUGUAUCCCGCAUGUUGAGACUGGCGCAUGCGCGAUACGAGGGGUCCUCUGGAGUGAUCUGGUUUCCAAUCGCAUAAUCCAGGUGUGUUAGUCCGACUUUUCAAAAACAGAACACUAUCGGAUUAAGGUGUUUCCAUGGGUUGUAAAAGGCUUAUUUAGCGCCAAACUACUUGAGAAAUCGGACUAAUUUAGUGCAUUGACACAUACUGAUUGAUACCCCAAGUUGUUAUUGAUGAUUUUGUCACGGUCCGGGUGCAUGCCAAUACGCACUCAUCUGUGCGCUCUGAUGAGAGCACCUUCAAGAGCGCACUUCCAGGAGCACGCUAGGCGCGUGUCAGUCCUGCUGCAGCCGGCAGCUGCAAUCAAUCACCUGCAAUCAGCGCAUCUGUUGUUGAUGAGAGGUCCUGCCUUCCUAAGCCUGCUCAACCUGCUAUCCGGCGCCAGAACGUAACCAUCCGUUCGUGUACCACCUCCGCUCCCGCGUUGACGUGCUGUGUGUCUCGUCAUUCCUUGUUCCUCUGCUUCCCGGACUGCCUCUUGGAUCCCGACCUCCUGCUUGGACAUGGACCUCCUACGCCCCGCUAUAGCCCCCGACUUCCUGCUUGCCUCAUGGACAUUCGAGCCUGCCAUUCCCCUCCGUGACUUCCGCCUCUCGCUCAACACUCCCGGUAACACACAACAGCUAAUCUCCACACAUAGUGUCACAGACACACACUUUGGAUUCGUCACACUC